rnacentral:rRNA from 1 species
GACGAACGCUGGCGGCGUGCUUAACACAUGCAAGUCGAACGAUGAACCCGGGGCUUGCUCCGGUGGAUUAGUGGCGAACGGGUGAGUAACACGUGAGUAACCUGCCCUUGACUCUGGGAUAACUGCGGGAAACUGUAGCUAAUACCGGAUAAGCCCUUACGGGGAAAGAUUUAUCGCCGAAAGAUCGGCCCGCGUCUGAUUAGCUAGUUGGUAAGGUAAAGGCCUACCAAGGCAACGAGCUGUAGUUGGUCUGAGAGGACGGCCAGCCACACUGGGACUGAGACACGGCCCAGACUCCUACGGGAGGCAGCAGUGGGGAAUUUUGGACAAUGGGCGCAAGCCUGAUCCAGCAAUGCCGCGUGCAGGAAGAAGGCCUUCGGGUUGUAAACUGCUUUUGUCAGGGAAGAAAUCUUCUGGGUUAAUACCUCGGGAGGAUGACGGUACCUGAAGAAUAAGCACCGGCUAACUACGUGCCAGCCGCCGCGGUAA